rnacentral:rRNA from 1 species
UACGGAGGGGGCUAGCGUUGUUCGGAAUUACUGGGCGUAAAGCGCACGUAGGCGGCUUUGUAAGUUAGAGGUGAAAGCCCGGGGCUCAACUCCGGAAUUGCCUUUAAGACUGCAUCGCUAGAAUUGUGGAAAGGUAAGUGGAAUUCACGGUGUAGCAGUGAAAUGCGUAGAGAUCGGGAAGAACAUCGGUGGCGAAGGCGCUCUACUGGACCACAACUGACACUCAGGGACGAAAGCUAGGGGAGCGAAUGGG